UACGUAGGUGGCAAGCGUUGCCCGGAAUUAUUGGGCGUAAAGAGCUCGUAGGCGGACUGUCGCGUCGGACGUGAAAACCCAGGGCUCAACCCUGGACCUGCGUUCGAUACGGGCAGACUAGAGUUCGGUAGGGGAGACUGGAAUUCCUGGUGUAGCGGUGAAAUGCGCAGAUAUCAGGAGGAACACCGGUGGCGAAGGCGGGCCUCUGGGCCGAUACUGACGCUGAGGAGCGAAAGCGUGGGGAGCGAACAGG
rnacentral:misc_RNA from 1 species